UACGUAGGGGCAAGCGUUGUCCGGAUUUAUUGGGCGUAAAGAGCGUGUAGGCGGCCAGGUAGGUCCGUUGUGAAAACUCGAGGCUCAACCUCGAGACGUCGGCGGAAACCCUCUGGCUAGAGUCCGGAAGAGGAGAGUGGAAUUCCUGGUGUAGCGGUGAAAUGCGCAGAUAUACAGGAAGAACACCCGUGGCGAAGGCGGCUCUCGUGGACGGUACUGACGCUGAGACGCGAAAGCGUGGGGAGCAAACAGG
rnacentral:rRNA from 1 species